GCGUUAAGACUUAAAAGAGUGCAACGAAAAGUUACAGUUGGACGCGACCCGACGCGAUGACGAACCCAAAUCUGACCGUUGAUUGAGAGCAGCUUCGUCGGUCGCCGCCGUCAGUGACAGAACCGACCAAGCAUAAUCCGCGCAAGUAAGCUAUCUCAGUUCUGUAUCAAUUUUGAGUUUCUUACCGAUUCGGAUUAGAAAAGCGAGGAUUUCAUAAAAAUACACUAUUCAACAACAACAGUUUUAUAUGAUCUUUGAACAGUGUGAAUGGAAAUGUCUGUGUGUUUGCUAUAUAUAUUCAUCAUGAAUUGAAUUGGAUUGACUUGUUGAGUAUCAGUACUUUUAAAAAAUGAGGACUUUUGAUAUGCUUCUGGCUACUAUAGAUCAAUAGAUGGAUGCUUAACUUCUAUGUUAUCGAAUGAGUCAUGAUAACUAUUGCAGUCCAAAGGAUACUUAAAACUCUCAUUCAGGUACAUUUAAGACUGAGAUUUUCAAAUCUCCUUUCAUUCAGGUACAUUUAGUUUUAUGAUCUAUUAGAACCUUUCUGAGAUAGUUUUUGUGUUACUUAGGUUUUUCUGUCAUUCGUAUUAGACAGAUUCCUCUAGGAGUCACAGAGGACAUACGUAUCGGGUCUGUUGAUGUUGAAGAGACUGUGAAAAGGGGCACAACUCUUAUCCAACCUGGUCUUUUGGCUGAAGCCGAUAGAGGAGUGUUGUAUGUUGAUGAAAGAAAUUUCUUAGAUGAUGGGAUUAGUUGCUUCCCAAUGUAUUACUAUUGAUGGAUGGUGUUAAUAUAGUUGAAAGUGAAGGUAUCAGCUUUAGGCACCCAUGGAAGCCACAGACCUAUAACCCUGAAGAAAGUGCUGUUCGAGAGCACCGUCUACUGUCUAGACCGUGUUGCCAUUAAUUUUAGUUCAGACCUUCCUAUGAGCUUUGAAGAUCGAGUCGCAAUAAUUGGAAUUGCCACACAGUUUCCGGAACACCGUGACGAGGUUUUUAGAAUGGUAAAUGAUUAGACAGAAACAUCAAAGACGCAGGUGAAGCUAGUUUCUGAACUGGUUCUGAAAUGCUACUCAAUGACGAUGUGGAUUAGCUUUCGGAUUACUCUGAGAAGGGUACCUAUGAUCCUGAAGCGAAAGAAGGAGGAAAUAACAUUGGUGGCCUGGGAAAUGCUGGCGAUGAAGAUGGCAGUUUGAGCUGCUCUUCUGAUGGUGUAAAAGCUUUCUAUAGGAUUCCGUAGGCCGUGAUUAGAACUCCAAAAUGGAGCUCAUGCAUUUGGAAAUAGGGUCCCCGCAGUUGAAACCAAACAACAAUGAAGAAAUUGUAUCCAGGCCAAGACAGUGGAGAGCUGCGGACUACACUAUGAGGUAUUAAGAAAGGACUGUCUCUACAUGAGCAGAUAUGUAAAGUCAAAGACUUAGGUCUAAGUAUCAGAUACAAACUUGAAAUUAUGUUCAGAAGUAGUAAGAGAGACCCAGAUGGAGAAGCACCAGAAGAGAAGAUGAAGAAGUUCGAUUUUCAGACUCCCAAGUGAUGCUGUUGAGCAGUAAGUACAUCAGAUGUUUGCAGAACCAUGAGGGACAUUGCUUCAUAAAAGUUGGAUUUUGAACUAAAGAAGGUAUCCCUGAGAAACGCACUUGUUUCCAAUUGUUAUAGGUCAGUUAAACGGUGCAACAACAUCUGACAUCGAGGAGUGGGAAGGUGGGUUCUAAGAUAUCUUAACAAGGUUUCUUCUCUCAACAACCUCACUAUUAUAAGGCAUUCUCUGAAGGGAACGGAACAUUCCGGGGCUAGAACAAUCAACGAAAACAUGACUAGAUUAAGCAACUUCAAGAUUCUGCAAAUGAGACUGCUUCACACUCAAACUAAAAGGGCAUGUAUACUAUUCAAUAUGAUGUUACCUCGAAAUCAGAGGUAAAGAACAAAGCAACAGUAGGUAACUGUCAAUAUUUCCAAUGGAAGCAUGAAUAUGUACUGCUCUCAUCUUAUGUCUGACCAUUGCUGUUACUCCCGUUAGUAGGCGCAAUCUUUCUGCAACUUCUAAAAUGUCACAUAUUUGUCAUUGUCUGAGGUUUGGCCCUUGACGAGAUUGAACAACGAUAUGAGCUUAGAAGACAAAGAAACAGGAGGAGGAGAACUAGCUCCGAAGCAAUACCGUAGAAGCUUUGCUCGGACCUGAAAGAUCAUGCCAUCGAGACUUAAGAACAUAAAAAAUCCAGGAAACACUUAGGCAAGUCUUCUUGUUUUAGGUCCAAGAGGACUCACUAGUGUAUGUUCAUUCCCUAGCAGAACAAUUUUGAGCUUCUUGGACAAUCAUAUGUACUGAUCAUAUUUGGAAGUAACAAGUCCAAGGACACAUGUAACUUUGUUGUACUGUUCAACACCUAUGUAUAUGUAUAAAUGUUUGUGUUUCUUCA